rnacentral:rRNA from 1 species
UACGGAAGGGGCUAGCGAUGAUCGGGAUUACUGGGCGUAAAGAGCGCGUAGGCGGCUUACCAAGUUGGGGGUGAAAUCCCGGAGCUCAACUCCGGAACUGCCUUCAAAACUGGUAGGAUCGAGUCCGGAAGAGGGGCGUGGAAUUCCCAGGGUAGAGGUGAAAUUCGUAGAUAUUGGGAAGAACACCGGUGGCGAAGGCGGCGCCCUGGUACGGUUCUGACGCUGAGGCGCGAAAGCGUGGGGAGCAAACAGG